UACGGAGGGUCCAAGCGUUGUCCGGAUUCAUUGGGUGUAAAGGGUGCGCAGGCGGGCCUGUAAGUCAGAGGUGAAAUCCCACGGCCUAACCGUGGAACUGCCUUUGAUACUGCAGGUCUUGAGUCCUGGAGAGGUCGCCGGAAUUCGUGGUGUAGCGGUGAAAUGCGUAGAUAUCACGAGGAACGCCGGAGGUGUAGACGGGUGACUGGACAGGAACUGACGCUCAGGCACGAAAGCGUGGGGAGCAAACAGGAUUAGAUACCCCCGUA
rnacentral:rRNA from 1 species